GCCACCACAAGGGCCAUCAUUUUCUAUGUCAUUUUUCUUUGACUCAGAAGGAGGUGCUCAUUUUGAUCAUUAUUUUUUGUUUUAAUCUUUUCCAUCAUUAUGGUAGUUUCAGAGACUAUUCUUUAGUGAUACAUGUUAUAUUUAGGUGUCAUAAAAUGUACUAUAUGCUAAAGGGAAUAUAUACUUGUGUUUUAGUCCGCUUUGCAUCAUUGUGACCAAGAUACCCAAAAAGAACAACCUAGAGGAAGAAAAAUUUAUUUGGGGCUUAGAGUUUUAGGUGUCUCAGUCCAUAGUUGACCAACUCCAUUGCUGUGGGCCCAAGGUGAGGCAGCACAGCAAGAGGGAAAGGCUCAGCAGAUCAAAGCUGCUUGGUUUAUGUUAGGGCCAGGAAGCAGGUAGGGUUGUAUGUGUGUGUGCGGAGGUUCCACAGGAAAGAUGCUCCCUUCCAGUGGUCCACCUUCUCCAGUCAUUUUCCGCCUGUCUGCAGUACCACAAUAAGUCUAUUCAAACUAGGAUAGGCUGAUUAGGUUACAGUUCUUAUAAUCUAAUCAUUUCACCUCUGAAUAUUCCUGCAUUAACAGGAGCUUUAAGAGGAUACUUCAUGUCCAAACCAUAACAGUCCACCCUGUCCCCUAAAAGCCUGUUGUGUAUAUCACAAUACAAAAUGCAUUUAGUUUAUCUCUAAGAGUUCCAUAGACCCAUAGUUUUAGCUUUACCCAAAAG
rnacentral:lncRNA from 1 species